AUUGAACGCUGGCGGCAGGCCUAACACAUGCAAGUCGAACGAGUGGCGGACGGGUGAGUAAUUUCUGGGAAACUGCCUGAUGGAGGGGGAUAACUACUGGAAACGGUAGCUAAUACCGCAUACCAUCGUAUGUUCCCAGAUGGGAUUAGCUAGUAGGUGGGGUAAAGGCUCACCUAGGCAACGAUCCGUAGCUGGUUUGAGAGGCCGCCCGGCCACACUGGGACUGAGACAAGGACCAGACUCCUACGGGAGGCAGCAGGGGGGAAGUUUGGACAAUGGGGGAAAGCCUGAUCCAGCCAUCCCGCGUGUAUGAUGAAGGCCUUCGGGUUGUAAAGUACUUUUGGCAGAGAAGCGGUAUCUGCAGAAUAAGCACCGGCUAACUACGUGCCAGCAGCCGCGGUAAUAC
rnacentral:rRNA from 1 species